rnacentral:rRNA from 1 species
UGGGGGAUAUUGCACAAUGGAGGAAACUCUGAUGCAGCAACGCCGCGUGAGGGAAGAAGGUUUUCGGAUUGUAAACCUCUGUUUUUAGUGAAGAAAAAAAUGACGGUAGCUAAAGAGGAAGCCACGGCUAACUACGUGCCAGCAGCCGCGGUAAUACGUAGGUGGCAAGCGUUGUCCGGAUUUACUGGGUGUAAAGGGUGCGCAGGCGGGACUGCAAGUUGGAUGUGAAAUACCGGAGCUCAACUCCGGGGCUGCAUCCAAAACUGUGGUUCUUGAGUGGAGUAGAGGUAAGCGGAAUUCCGAGUGUAGCGGUGAAAUGCGUAGAUAUUCGGAGGAACACCAGUGGCGAAGGCGGCUUACUGGGCUCUAACUGACGCUGAGGCACGAAAGCAUGGGUAGCAAACA